rnacentral:lncRNA from 1 species
ACUGUUACAAAAAUCUCAAACAUUGGAAUUCAAGGUGUUUGAAUUUAUCUAUUGUUGAUAAAAGAAAAAGGAAUUCCAAUACAUCUAACACACAAUUUGUUAAUACAUGCGCAACCGUGACAGGUUGGACAUUGAGCAUAACAAUCUUUUACAGUUUUGCAACGCAGAGUCACAACGUUCCUUGCCUCCGAUUUCAUGCACAUAUCUGCAACCACAAACCAUACAUUAUAUAAAACAAAACCAAUCCUAAAAUAUAACACAUCUAGAAAAAAUAUUAGAAAAAGAAAGCUCCUUAAAAAUUAAGAAAGAAAAUACAGAAUGAAAUAGAUGCUUAAUCCUCAAAGCACAAUUACAGAUAUUAAAUGAGAGAAAAGCAUGACUUAUAACCUGAUGCAAUGAUAACGAAAAGCAUUAGGAAUACAAAUCUGACAGCAGACAUAUUUGAAGUGGCCAUCUUCAUUCU